rnacentral:rRNA from 1 species
AUGUUACAUGAUGUUCCAUCUACUGAUGUUCCUGUUGAGAGUAAACAUCAGCCUACUAUUCAGCAGUCUACUGUUCAGGUGGAGCAUGUUAUCGAUUCAGGUGAUACAUCUGGUAAUGAAAUUGUUGAUGCACAUGAUAAACCCGUCGUUGAUGAUGAACAUGUCACUCCCACUCCAAAUCAGCCUAUUGUUCCACCUAGUUGGAAUCUUGCACAUGACAGAGUUAGGCGGGGUAUUAAUAAACCUGACAGGUUAAUUGAAGAGUGCAAUAUUGUUUCUUUUGCUUUAUCUAUUGCAGAAGAAAUUGAAGGUAAUGCUAAGCCUUCUUCAUAUUCCAAGGCUAUUAUUUCUGGUGAUAGUAAUAAGUGGAUGACCGCUAUGCAUGAUGAGAUGGAAUCACUUGAAAGGAAUGGCACUUGGGAUUUAGUAAAAUUGCCUAGAGAGAAAAAACCUAUUCGUUGCAAGUGGGUUUUCAAGAGGAAAGAAGGUGUUUCUCCUAAUGAUGAGACAAGAUAUAAAGCAAGGUUAGUUACUAAGGGUUACAGUCAGAUUCCAGGUAUUGACUAUUAG